GCAGCAUUUGCUGUAUUGACUGAAAUUAGAGUAAUACAGAGUUUAGCAGGGCCCCUGAGUAAGGAUGACAUUCAAACUGGUAGAAUGUGUUGAAUAUAUGU
ensembl:snRNA U6 U6 spliceosomal RNA